GACGAACGCUGGCGGCGUGCUUAACACAUGCAAGUCGAACGGACAGGCCCUGCAUCUGCGGGGUGCUCGAGUGGCGAACGGGAGAGUAACACGUGAGUAACCUGCCCUCGACUAUGGGAUAACUAUAGGAAACUGGGGCUAAUACCGGAUAGGAGAUCCUGCUGCAUGGAGGGGGUGGGGAAGUUUCGGGGGUUGGGGGUGGAGUCGCGGCUUAUCGGCUUGCUGGUGGGGUAGUGGCAUAACAAGGCGUUGCCGGGUAGCCGGCCUGAGAGGGUGACCGGCCCCGUUGGGACUGGGAUGCGGCCCAGACUCCUACGGUACGCGACGGUGGGGUAUGUUGCCCUAUGGGCUGAGGCCUAAUGCAGCAACGCCGCGCGCGGUAUGUCGUCCUUCGGUUUGUAUUCCACUUUCGCCUGUGCCGAAGCGUGAGUGACGGUAAUGGGUAAAGAAGCCCCGGCUAACUACGUG
rnacentral:rRNA from 1 species